rnacentral:rRNA from 1 species
AGGACGAACGCUGGCGGCGUGCCUAAUGCAUGCAAGUCGCACGCAGGGUGCUUGCACUCUGAGUGGCGCACGGCUGAGGAUCACGUGGGAACAUGCCUCCUUGUGGGGGACAACAGCGCGAAAGCGCUGCUAAUCCCGCAUACGCUCGGGCAACCGAGGAAAGCGUGUAAACGCGCAGGGAGAGUGGCCCGCGGCCCAUCAGGUCGUAGGUGGGGUAAUGGCCUACCUAGCCGAUGACGGGUAGCUGGUCUGUGAGGACAGACAGCCAGACUGGGACUGAGACACGGCCCAGACUCCUACGGAGCAGCAGCAAGGAUUUCGCAAGUGGGCUAACGCCUAGAACGAGCAAACGCCGCGUGGAGGGCGACGGCCUUGGUGUAAACUCCUUUUAGCGGGUACGAUAAGUGACGUACCCGCGAAUAACGGCUCGGCUAACUCGUGUGCCAGCAGCCGCGGU